ACUUAAGGCACGUUCAGUCAGUAUCACUUUCCUCAGUACUUGAAAAUUUGAGAUUAUGCACAAAACUGACCGUUUAAGUUUCCACCUUCCAGCUUUAUCACGUUAAAUCGUAAAAGCGAACUCUACAAUGUUAGUUAUUUUUACCCACGUUUUGAGUAUGAAAUGCGCGAUUGAAACGGGAAGUGGAUAGACAUCACGGCUCCUUCUAUUCAACUGCCUAAAUACGUGAAUGACAAUUUGGAUUGAAGUUAAGUGAUCAGUUCUACUUGAUGACAGACUCGUCAUCAUAUAUUGCCCUGAAAGGCAAAAGACUCUUUAACGAGGAGUAAAAAAGCAAAAGGAGUGUAACAGAGUCGAAAGGUAGAGACCAAGAAAUCUGUACGAUCAGAGACAUUGAACUAAAAAUUAAGAGAGAUAAAAACCAACUAGAGAGACAAGGAUCAGAACAAGACAUGAACAUCAAGUAAAUCCCACGCUGGAGUCUGAGGAUUGCGGGCAAACAACAAACCACUUAAAGGAGUAUCAUUCAAUAUUGGACCUUAGUUCUCGAUUUUUCCUAGCAAAACUUAAACGAUGGUUUUUUUAAGACCAUUCGGAAACAGGAUUUUUUGUCAAACUCCAGGGUAUAUGGAUUGCACACCUGUCCAUCAUUUAACGAACUUAAUUGUUUUUAGUAAAAGCAAUUGCACAUAACUAAGAAACACUGAUUCAGUUGCAAUAUAUUGGCUUUGAGAAACAAUGUUGUUCACUAAUGUGUAGCAGAUAUAUUUCCUUCAAAUCCUGAUGCAUUUUUCAAAUAAACAAAGCCCCUCCAAAAGCCCGGAAGACAAUCCUGAUUAAACCAAUUUUACUAACCAACUGAAAAUCGAAGUCCUCAGAUUUCGUUUGUUUAUGUUUUUUGUAAUAUUCCUGACCGAAGAUUUACAGCUUUUAAGGUACCAGUGCCGCCUCUAUAAUUACCACGUGGCGAAAGAGGCAUCAAAGACACUAUCCCAUCAGCUGUUCUAAUGGAUCAUUUUAAUUUUAGUCUUGACUGGGACACUGCAAUACUAUAGAAUUAAACAAUAUAUAAUUCUCGUUGCUUCUUCAGUCCAGUCUUGUACGGGGUUCAUUUCAACAUCUCUUAGUUAUUUCUACACAGCUGUUUAGCUAUGUACAGGAGGCGGGUCACCCGUGAAGCUUCGUGUCUUGUGGAAUGCUGGCUCUUCACAACAGGGCUGUGAUGAAAUUUUUAUAUUGUUUUGGUGCCAGAAUCUUUACGUUUAUUGUUUUUUUUUCUGAGAUAAGAAUCAUUUCUGCCAACAGGCAGAAUAAACUUACUACCUUGGUUGCAUGAAACUGGGGAAAAAAACAGGAAUUUUAAAAGGGAAAAUGGCCUUAAUGUCCAGCUAGACAUCUCUCCCUUUGAAGCCUUUCCUAGUAGCCUUACGACAGGUAAACUGUUGUUUCAGGAAGGUGUCCAAGCUGUCCUUACUUAUUAGAUUGUUUUUUAAAAUGUUUACUUGUGAGGCAUUUUUGCUGCAGGGCAAAUGUAUAUCAUUUGUCAUAUUAUUUCAAAGGAAAGUUGUUUGGCACCUUUUGGUUAAAUCAACCUUUCAAAAUUUUGUCAUAUUAUUUCAAAGGAAAGUUGUUUGGCACCUUUUGGUUAAAUCAACCUUCCAAAAUUUCAGUAAUUAUUCGCAGCGUUUGCUCCAAUAGUAAUCACCUUGUUAGCCUUCAAUAUGUCCAGCGUUAGCCUCAAACAUUCCUUGAUAUUCAGGUGCAAUGUUUGGGAAACAAUAACAGAUCUUUUUUCCAAUACUGCGUCAACCUAGGAAUAGGUCACGCACACUUAAAUUUAAGACUGUUUUCCUUUACACUCAACAUAACGUCCUUCGGGCUUCUAUGUCAAAGUUGUAACCUUCAUAUUUCAGACUCUCUCCAUAGGAAAUAAUAGAAUUUUCCGCUCGGUUGGUUAAUUUCGCAAUAAAAUUUCAAAAUCUUUCCGUAAUAUUUUCAGCUUAUUUCCUAGCAUUACCACCUUACCGUCGCUAUUCGAUGACUCACGUAAUGUCAUGUUGUUCUAAGACAGUGCAAUGUGCCUUUUACAAUAGCAAAAUUCCGCGGAUCAUCACAAGAAGUCGAUUCAUUCAUUUUUACCCCAACUAAUGCAUGAAAAGUUUUGCAAAUGGUUCAAUCUCCUUAACCAGUUAAUGUUUGUAUUUAACAACAUGUUGCAGUUUCUAGCAUUACAUUUUUCGAGACUUCUAAAAAUUUUGUAAGAAUAAACCUGAAAUACCUCUUGAAACUACCUGAGCAAAUUCUGGUUACAAUAACAAACACGAACUUGCUAUUUAAUACUAGGGAUCGUUUAAAGAUGAUAAACAUUACAUUUAAUUCGCUGACCAGCGACAGAGCGUUCAGUUCGAAGAGCAUCAGCCACAGCUUAAAAAACCAAUUAUCCACAAAGACUGUCUGAACUUUCGACAAUAACUCUUCGUGUUUGUGAUCGUUGUUUGUCCUCUUGAAGCAAGCUCUUCGGAGCUUUCUUACGCAAAUGCGUUUCCAAGUUCAGAUUUUUUCCCUUGAACUUGCCCACUUGUUGGGCACAAGUUUCAGUUACAGUUACAAGCUCUGUUUCGCGCUUUUCAAACCAUGGCAGUUUGGCAGUGUGACCCCGUCUCUUCACAUCAGGAGUGUUAACUUUGUUUGUAGACUCGAAGGCCUCUCUAACCGGGGAAGGAAGGUUUCUGGUUAUAAUUCAGUCCCUUCUGUGCUCAAUCGCGGUAAUGAUAGCACAUAAAUGGACGCUAAAAGUGCUUUCAGACGUACAACCGAGCUCAGACUUAGUGUUCUGGAUAAAUAAGGCCAUGAUUUCUUCAAUAAUUUUAAAGAAACGAAGAUUCAGCACAUCAUAGAGAAACAAGUCCCUGCAACAUUAUUCAAGUUCCGGCAAGCGAUAAUUUCUGCUAACCAAUGUACACUGCCAUAUACAUUUCAGAACAAAGACCAA
rnacentral:lncRNA from 1 species